AAAGAAGAUCCCCGGCGGCGUGCUACUCAUGCAUGUCAGCGAUGUCUUCGGAACUAGCGGCGGACGGGUGAGUACACGUUUGACCUGCCUGUAAGACUGGGAUAACUUCGGGAAACCGAAGCUAAUACCGGAUACUUUCAAGCAUCGCAUGAUGCUUGAUGGAAAGACGGCUUCGGCUGUCACUUACAGAUUGACCCGCGUCGCAUUAGCUAGUUGGUGAGGUAACGGCUCACCAAGGGCGACGAAUGCGUAGCCGACCUGAGAGGGUGAUCGGCCACACUGGGACUGAGACACGGCCCAGACUCCUACGGGAGGCAGCAGUAGGGAAUCUUCGGCAAUGGGCGAAAGCCUGACCGAGCAACGCCGCGUGAGCGAUGAAGGCCUUCGGGUCGUACAGCUCUGUUGUUAAGGAAGAACAAGUACGAGAGUAACUGCUCGUACCUUGACGGUACUUAACGAGAAAGCCACGGCUAACUACGUGCCAGCAGCCGCGGUAAUACGUAGGUCGCGAGCGUUAUCCGGAAUUACUGGGCGUAAAGCGCACGUAGGCGGCUACUCAAGUCAGAGGUGAAAGCCCGGGGCUCAACCCCGGAACUGCCUUUGAAACUAGGUAGCUGGAAUCUUGGAGAGGUCAGUG
rnacentral:rRNA from 1 species